AAUUCCAAUAAAAAUAUUUUCAUAAACACUUGUAGGAGUAAUUAAGAAAAAUAUCUAAGGAAGAACUACAGUAAUUAACAUACCAGGAUUAAAGUUGACUAGCAAGAAUUACUAGAGCAGUUUAAAAAUAUCCAUAUGUCUUAAUAGAAAGUUGUUGCUACAGAGAAAUGCUAAAUGUUUAAGGUGAUGGUUAUAGUAAUUACCCUCAUUUGAUCAUUAUACUAUGUAUAAAUGCAUUAAAAUAUCCCAUUGUUUGCUGUAAAUAAGUAUAAUUGUUAUGUGCCAAUUAUAAAUAGAAAAAUAAAUUAAAAAGGAAAGACAGGAAUCAGAUUCACUGAAAUCAGUAUUCUGUUUUCUUGAAUUAAUCAAAUAUUGAAUUCUUAAUUCAAUAGUUCUCAAGAAAUUAUAAAUAACAUCAUUUACUUAUGUAUUUUUUUCUGCUUUAAUUUAUUUCUAGAGUGAUCCUUUCUUUCCUCCUCCCUCCUUCUCUUUCUCUCCUCUCUUCCCUUCCUCUCUCCUUGUUUUCUUUCCUUUUAUCUUUUAUGUAUGUUUUUAUGUUUAUCUGUAUGACAUACCCAAUUUGUUUAAAUUUCAGAAGAGCAGCUAUAUGAGCAACAUCUCAUGACUGAAAUACAUCCCAGCAUUACGUAUGCAGCAAUAUUAGAUGUUGCUCCUCCUAGAGUUGUAUCCCAUAGGAGGUAGCCAGGCAAUCAGUACCCUCAGCAAAUCAGUGAUGACGGCAUCAAAAUUCCAAUAUUCAAACAGAUUUUCAAGACGGCUGACUAGAGGCACCCAGCACUUGGUUUCUCCAUAAAGAAGAACCAAAACAAUCUGCGAUGAUUAAGAACACCUGUGGCAACACCAAACAGAGCCCACAAACAUCGUGCUGAUGAGCAAGGACUAGGGAAGAAGAUGCUCAAGAAACAUCCAUGAAAACAACCAGGAGGGCUUUGAGAGAAUACGGAGCUGGAGCUCGGAUCUUCCUUUAUGAAAAGCAUGGGAAAACCUAGAAGGCUCUGUCUUAAGAUAAAAAGACCAGGGACUUUCUAGGGGUCAUAAGGCAAAAACCCUUCAGGAAAUACUAUGAAGUCUGGGAAAGAAAGAACAUUGAGACUUAAUUUGCGAAGUAAGG